rnacentral:rRNA from 1 species
UACGAGUGCCCCGAGCGUUAUCCGGAAUCAUUGGGCGUAAAGGGUGUGUAGGUGGUCAGAUUAGUCUUGUGUUAAAUUCUUCGGCUUAACCGGGGGCAUGCAUAGGAAGCGGUCUGGCUAGAGUCCGGAAGAGGAGAGUGGAAUUCCUGGUGUAGCGGUGAAAUGCGCAGAUAUCAGGAAGAACACCUAUGGCGAAGGCAGCUCUCUGGGACGGUACUGACGCUGAGACGCGAAAGCGUGGGGAGCGAACAGG